AAAACCCAUCCUCUGUUUUCCAAGGACUCAACUGCUUUACAAAUCAUGCUUUACUAUGAUGAGUUGGAAAUUGCAAAUGCCCUUGGUAGUAAAACUGGAAAGCAUAAGUUAGGAGUUGUUUACUACACAACUGGAAAUAUUGAUCCUCGAUAUCGAUCCCAGUGUGAUAACAUUCACCUACUCCUUAUGGCAACAGUUCCAAUUAUCAAAAAAUAUGGCAUUGACAUUCUCUUGGAGCCUUUCAUGAAUGACCUUGAAUACCUUGAACAAGAUGGUGGUCACCAGUUCAUUGUUAAAGGUGAACCUCUGUCAUUUUUUGGGACUAUUGUGUUGAUUUCUGGAGACAAUCUUGGAUCACAACUCAUGGGUGGAUUCAAAGAAGGUCCAGGUGCACAUUUGAAAUGCCGGCAAUGCAUGGGGACCACAGAACAAAUAAAGCAGAAGUUUUCAGAAAACAUUUUACACUUGGAACUCGUGCUGGUCAUGACCGCCAAUGUGAACUGAUUGAAGAAAACCCAGAACUGAGUAAAGCAUAUGGGCUUUGCAGGAGAUCAAUUCUUUGCAACUCUAGGUAUUUUCAUGUAGCAGAUGGCAUGCCAGGUGAUGCAAUGCAUGAUAUACUAGAAGGAGUACUUCAGUAUGUAUGUAAAGAAUUGCUGAAGCACUUCAUAUUUAAAGAAAAAUUUUUAACAUUGGAGCAACUUAAUGAAAGAAUGAACUCUUUUGAUUAUGGAAAUUUUAAUGAUAAAAACAAGCCAUCACCAAUCACCCGGACAACUUUGAGGAGUGAAAACAAUAGUUUAAAGCAAAAAGCAAGACAAAUGUGGUGCCUUGGAAAAUUCCUUCCUUUAGCUCUCGGCAGUGCCAUUCCUCAGGAUGAAGAAAAGUGGAUGCAUUUUCUUUUGCUCCUUAAAAUUGUUGACAUUGUUUUUUCACCAAUCACAAACACUGAUGAACUUGCUAUCCUGGAAGGAUACCUGAAGGAAUUUUGUGGAAAUUCACCCAGCUUUAUCCUGGGCUUUCAGUUAUACCCAAGAUGCAUUACUUGGUUCAUUACCCAGCUCAUAUUUACAGAUUUGGACCAAUGAUUUGGAGCUGGUGCAUGCGAUAUGAAGCAAAGCACAGUUACUUUAAAAGAUUGGCUUCAUACCUUGGAAACUUCACUAAUGUUGCACUUAGCCUUGCUGAACGACAUCAAACCAGAAGUUGCUAUCUAAGAAAUCAACCCAUUGCAAAAAAGCCUAAAAUUGAUUCUGCAAAAGAAAUUGUUGCUAAGGAUAGUGAACAUUAUUAUUUGCUCAAAGAGAAGGAACCUAACUUAAGUGACAUUAGUAUUUUGUCAAGAUCCAACCCAGAUCCUGUGGGUUUUGCACCCAUUAUGCGCUUAAUUUGCGUCUUAGUAAGCAUAAGCAUGUCAAGGCCGUCAAGUGCUUUUUUGGUAAGUCGUAUAGUCACUCCGGUUCCUUCUCUGACUGCCUUUGCCAAGUUAUUUUUCUGAGCCGUUGAAAGUGUAACGCCGUGAACUGUGUAGUUAUUACGUCCACCACCUUUAGCAGCUCCACCACCUUUCCUAACUACACCACUACCAGCAACUGCUUUUUGCGUGCUGCCGGUGAUAGCACCUGAUAUAGCUGCUAGGCCUAGAGACGGUAACACUUUUGGUAUGAGUUUAGUGACCGUAGGUAUGAGUUUUCCAAUAAGAUUUCCAAUAAGCUA